UGCUGUUGUUAUUAAUAAUGAUGAUGAUGAUGAUGAUGAUGAUCAUCAUCAUCAUCAUCAUCAUCAUCAUCGUUAUUAGUUGUU
rnacentral:pre_miRNA from 1 species